CAGUAGCCGCGGGAAUACGUAGGGUGCAAGCGUUAAUCGGAAUUACUGGGCGUAAAGCGUGCGCAGGCGGUUAUAUAAGACAGAUGUGAAAUCCCCGGGCUCAACCUGGGAACUGCAUUUGUGACUGUAUAGCUAGAGUACGGCAGAGGGGGAUGGAAUUCCGCGUGUAGCAGUGAAAUGCGUAGAUAUGCGGAGGAACACCGAUGGCGAAGGCAAUCCCCUGGGCCUGUACUGACGCUCAUGCACGAAAGCGUGGGGAGCAAACAGGAUUAGAUACCCCUGUAGUCCCUGUCUCUUUACC
rnacentral:rRNA from 1 species